UAGCGUGCUUGCAGACCAGAGUUCAGCAGCUGAUAUAUUAACUCUGACCAGAGCUGUUGACAUGGCAAAGGGUGUGUGCUUCCAUUUGCAAUAGACUGCACCAAAGACUGCUGGCACAGAGAGAACUACGAAGGUUGCCCAAAGGAAUUCUGGAAUAUAUCUGGAAGACUUUUGGAACCCAAGCCAAUCUGCGGCCACUUACUCACAGGAAAACAAUAGGGAAGGCCCAUAUCAGAAGUGUCUCAUAGAUGAAUGACUACUAAAGUCUUCCUGGAGCGUGGUUUGGUAUGUGGAGGUCAGUCCCAAACAGUUAAUAAGUCCUCCAGCUAUCGGGUUGGCUGCCAGUGUUGUUUUUGGUGUGAAAUCUAUGGUACAGAUUGAUCUGAGAGAGAAUAAUAGACUAGAGUACUUCUCCAGUUGCUGCAUAUUCCUGGUCAGCCUGGUUGAAGAGGUGGAGCUGUGACACUCUGCACUUCUUCCUUGCCCACCAUUGAGGAUGAAGUGGAAGGGCAUGCCAGGCGUAAUUCUCCAUUGCCUUGAACCUCGUGAAGUCAGUGACACCAGAGCAAAGUGGGAAAAUGCUACCAUUAUGUUCCAGCUGGUUGUUGUCCAAAUCCAAGAAUCAUUCCAAUGAAGAAAAGGUGCAUAAGACUCACUUCACAUGGGUGUGACUACACUAUUAGUACCUGCUGGCAAAUAGUAUUUUUUUUCUUUUUUUCCAUAUAUUUGAUUCAUGCAUAUAUAUUAACUAUUCUUUAGAAUCUUUAUUUUCAAAAAAAGAGUAUGUCUAAAUUCUAAGGGCCAGACCACCAGUCUUUGACCAGUAAGCUGCCCUAUUCAGGAAUUUAUUCAUUAUACUGUUUCUAAUAGUAACUCUGGGAUGCUUUUACAUCCAUAAAAUUCCAGAUAUUCUUGGAAACCAUCUCUGAGAUAGAUAGAUAGAUAGAUAGAUAGAUAGAUAGAUAGAUAGAUAGAUAGAUAGAUAGAUAGAUAGCAAAGAGUGGUAAUGUAUCAAUUUUUUUAUUUCUGUAUUUUCUAUUUCUGUAACCUGUGCUGUACUAAUCUCUGAUUAAUACUCGUAGAAUAAAUAAUUCCAUCUGAGUGUGUUAUUUUGACAAUCUUGAGUCAUUAACUCAACAAAACAAAGUACGAAACAGUGGAGAAGAAGGCCCAUUAGAUUUAUGUGAGCAUGACUACUUAUGAGCUUGUUGUGUGGUCUGUGCAGGUCACAAUAAAGAAAUUUGACUUACAGUAGAAAUACAUAGGGAAUGCUGUCAUGUAUUUGCAUGCUACAUCUAACUAAAAGAAAAGGGAUUUUUAUUUUUUAGAUUUUAUACUGUUUAUUAAUAAAGUUUAAGGGGAGAGUUAGGACACAAGUAGAUUGUAGGUGCCCAAUUCCCAUUAAUUUUCAACAGGAUUUGAGU